rnacentral:rRNA from 1 species
AUACGUAGGGUGCAAGCGUUAAUCGGAAUUACUGGGCGUAAAGCGUGCGCAGGCGGUUUUGGAAGGCCGAGGGGAAAGCCCCGGGCUCAACCUGGGAACUGCCUUUGUGAAUGCAAGGCCAGAGUAAGGCCGAGGGGGAUGGAAUUUCGCGUGUAGCAGUGAAAUGCGUAGAUAUGCGGAGGAACACCGAUGGCGAAGGCAAUCCCCUGGGCCUGUACUGACGCUCAUGCACGAAAGCGUGGGGAGCAAACAGGAUUAGAUACCCUGGUAGUCCACGCCCUAAACGAUGUCAACUGGUUGUUGGGUCUUCAUUGACUCAGUAACGAAGCUAACGCGUGAAGUUGACCGCCUGGGGAGUACGGCCGCAAGGUUGAAACUCAAAUGAAUUGGCGGGG